rnacentral:snoRNA from 1 species
CUCCCUCUGUGAUGGAGUUGCUACUUGUAGACGGAUAAUACCUGUGACGAUCCAAAUGCAAAUCACCAUCUUUCGACUGAGAAGGAG